GUGCUCACUUCUGCAGCACAUUACUGGAAUUGCAAUGAUACAGAAAAAAUUAGAAUGGUCCCUGUGAAGGAUGACAUGCAUAUUCAUGUAGCGUUCCAUACUUUU
rfam:Erinaceus europaeus unplaced genomic scaffold scaffold00370, whole genome shotgun sequence